rnacentral:rRNA from 1 species
AGGGAUGACGGCCUUCGGGUUGUAAACCUCUUUCAGUAGGGAAGAAGCGAAAGUGACGGUACCUGCAGAAGAAGCACCGGCUAACUACGUGCCAGCAGCCGCGGUAAUACGUAGGGUGCGAGCGUUAUCCGGAAUUAUUGGGCGUAAAGAGCUCGUAGGCGGUUUGUCACGUCUGUCGUGAAAGUCCGGGGCUUAACCCCGGAUCUGCGGUGGGUACGGGCAGACUAGAGUGCAGUAGGGGAGACUGGAAUUCCUGGUGUAGCGGUGGAAUGCGCAGAUAUCAGGAGGAACACCGAUGGCGAAGGCAGGUCUCUGGGCUGUAACUGACGCUGAGGAGCGAAAGCAUGGGGAGCGAACAGGAUUAGAUACCCUGGUAGUCCAUGCCGUAAACGUUGGGCACUAGGUGUGGGGACCAUUCCACGGUUUCCGCGCCGCAGCUAACGCAUUAAGUGCCCCGCCUGGGGAGUACGGCCGCAAGGCUAAAACUCAAAGGAAUUGACGGGGGCCCGCACAAGCGGCGGAGCAUGCGGAUUAAUUCGAUGCAACGCGAAGAACCUUACCAAGGCUUGACAUGUUUUCGAUCGCCGUGGAGACACGGUUUCCCCUUUGGGGCGGAUUCACAGGUGGUGCAUGGUUGUCGUCAGCUCGUGUCGUGAGAUGUUGGGUUAAGUCCCGCAACGAGCGCAACCCUCGUUCCAUGUUGCCAGCACGUCGUGGUGGGGACUCAUGGGAGACUGCCGGGGUCAACUCGGAGGAAGGUGAGG